CAGGCUUAACACAUGCAAGUCGAGGGGUAACAGGUCUCUCGGGACGCUGACGACCGGCGCACGGGUGAGUAACGCGUAUGCAAUCUGCCUUCAGCUGGAGGAUAGCCCGGAGAAAUCCGGAUUAAUACUCCAAAUGCUAUCGGACGGCAUCGUCUGAUAUCUAAAGCUCCGGCGGCUGAUGAUGAGCAUGCGUGACAUUAGUUAGUUGGUGAGGUAACGGCUCACCAAGACUACGAUGUCUAUGGGGUCUUAAAGGAUGAUCCCACACACUGGUACUGAGACACGGACCAGACUCCUACGGGAGGCAGCAGUGAGGAAUAUUGGUCAAUGGGCGAAAGCCUGAACCAGCCAUGCCGCGUGAAGGAUGACGGCCCUACGGGUUGUAAACUUCUUUUGUACGGAAAGAACAAAGGCUACGUGUAGCCUCUUGACGGUACCGUACGAAUAAGCAUCGGCUAACUCCGUGCCAGCAGCCACGGUAAUACGGAGGAUGCAGGCGUUAUCCGGAUUUAUUAGGUUUAAAGGGUGCGUAGGCGGAGUUUUAAGUCAGUGGUGAAAUCUUGUGGCUCAACCAUGAAACUGCCAUUGAUACUAUUGCUCUUGAAUGUAGUUGAGGUAGGCGGAAUGUGUAGUGUAGCGGUGAAAUGCUUAGAUAUUACACAGAACACCAAUUGCGAAGGCAGCUUACUAGACUAUGAUUGACGCUGAGGCACGAAAGCGUGGGGAGCGAACAGGAUUAGAUACCCUGGUAGUCCACGCUGUAAACGAUGAUCACUGGUUGUUGGCGUUACACUGUCAGCGACUGAGCGAAAGCAUUAAGUGAUCCACCUGGGGAGUACGUCGGCAACGAUGAAACUCAAAGGAAUUGACGGGGGCCCGCACAAGCGGAGGAACAUGUGGUUUAAUUCGAUGAUACGCGAGGAACCUUACCUGGGCUUAAAUGUAGCAUGACUGCUGUCGAAAGAUAGUUUCCCUUCGGGGCAAGUUACAAGGUGCUGCAUGGCUGUCGUCAGCUCGUGCCGUGAGGUGUCGGGUUAAGUCCCAUAACGAGCGCAACCCUUAUCGUUAGUUACCAGCGCGUAAAGGCGGGGACUCUAACGAGACUGCCACCGUAAGGUGUGAGGAAGGUGGGGAUGACGUCAAGUCAGCACGGCCCUUACGUCCAGGGCUACACACGUGUUACAAUGGCCAGUACAAAGGGCAGCUACCAGGCGACUGGAUGCUAAUCUCCAAAACUGGUCUUAGUUCGGAUUGAAGUCUGCAACUCGACUUCAUGAAGUUGGAUUCGCUAGUAAUCGCGCAUCAGCCACGGCGCGGUGAUACGUUCCCGGGCCUUGUACACACCGCCCGUCAAGCCAUGGAAGCUGG
rnacentral:rRNA from 1 species